CUCAUUUUCCUUUCCUCCUCCUCCUCCUCCUCCUCCUCCUUCUCAGCAGUCCUCUCCUCCUCUCUCUGUGCUGGUUUCUGUUCCCCUCAUAUUUGGGCUGCUACUGCUGGUUGUACUGGUUGUACUGGUUAGGCGAUGUGUCCGGAGGAAACCUGAAGAGAGAGAUCCUGCAGCUGCUGCCUCCUACUCAUCAGUGAAAAGAACAGCAGCAAACCACCGAAAGGAAUCAAACAGCAAACGAGAGCAAGAUCCUGCACCAGAUGCCACCUACUCCUUACUGGAAAGAACAACAGCAAACAGCCAGCAUGAGUCAAAUGUGAUCAGAGAGAGCGAUCCCGCUGCAGUUUAUUCUUUACUGUAUGGAACAGCUGACGUCAGCUAUGCACAGAUCGCCAUCAGGACAAACAGCAGUCACAGAGAUCUUCCAACAGACUCAGCGGUCAUCUACUCCUCACUGAAGCAGACCCACACACCUUCACCACAGUGUAACCAGUCUGACCAGUGACGUCCAGCUCGCUGCCAAACACAUCCCUGCACUGCCCUCUAUAUUAUUUAUUAUUUAUUUAAUCCUGUGUGUGUUUACAGUCGUACAGCUGCACUGGACCAGUUUGAAUGUAGAGCUGAGGAUGAAGUGGAAAGUUUAUGUUUGUCUUUAA